AUUGAACGCUGGCGGCAGGCCUAACACAUGCAAGUCGAGCGGUAGAGAGAAGCUUGCUUCUCUUGAGAGCGGCGGACGGGUGAGUAAUGCCUAGGAAUCUGCCUGGUAGUGGGGGAUAACGUUCGGAAACGGACGCUAAUACCGCAUACGUCCUACGGGAGAAAGCAGGGGACCUUCGGGCCUUGCGCUAUCAGAUGAGCCUAGGUCGGAUUAGCUAGUUGGUGGGGUAAUGGCUCACCAAGGCGACGAUCCGUAACUGGUCUGAGAGGAUGAUCAGUCACACUGGAACUGAGACACGGUCCAGACUCCUACGGGAGGCAGCAGUGGGGAAUAUUGGACAAUGGGCGAAAGCCUGAUCCAGCCAUGCCGCGUGUGUGAAGAAGGUCUUCGGAUUGUAAAGCACUUUAAGUUGGGAGGAAGGGCUGUUACCUAAUACGUGAUGGUUUUGACGUUACCGACAGAAUAAGCACCGGCUAACUCUGUGCCAGCAGCCGCGGUAAUACAGAGGGUGCAAGCGUUAAUCGGAAUUACUGGGCGUAAAGCGCGCGUAGGUGGUUUGUUAAGUUGGAUGUGAAAUCCCCGGGCUCAACCUGGGAACUGCAUUCAAAACUGACUGACUAGAGUAUGGUAGAGGGUGGUGGAAUUUCCUGUGUAGCGGUGAAAUGCGUAGAUAUAGGAAGGAACACCAGUGGCGAAGGCGACCACCUGGACUGAUACUGACACUGAGGUGCGAAAGCGUGGGGAGCAAACAGG
rnacentral:rRNA from 1 species